rnacentral:rRNA from 1 species
UUAUCAAGUCUCUUGUGAAAUCUAAUGGCUUAACCAUUAAACUGCUUGGGAAACUGAUAGUCUAGAGUGAGGGAGAGGCAGAUGGAAUUGGUGGUGUAGGGGUAAAAUCCGUAGAUAUCACCAAGAAUACCCAUUGCGAAGGCGAUCUGCUGGAACUCAACUGACGCUAAGGCGCGAAAGCGUGGGGAGCAAACAGGAUUAGAUACCCUGGUAGUCCACGCCCUAAACGAUGUACACUAGUUGUUGGGAUGCUAGUCAUCUCAGUAAUGCAGCUAACGCAUUAAGUGUACCGCCUGGGGAGUACGGUCGCAAGAUUAAAACUCAAAGGAAUAGACGGGGACCCGCACAAGCGGUGGAGCAUGUGGUUUAAUUCGAAGAUACGCGAAGAACCUUACCUGGGCUUGAUAUCCUAAGAACCUUUUAGAGAUAAGAGGGUGCUAGCUUGCUAGAACUUAGAGACAGGUGCUGCACGGCUGUCGUCAGCUCGUGUCGUGAGAUGUUGGGUUAAGUCCCGCAACGAGCGCAACCCACGUAUUUAGUUGCUAACGGUUCGGCCGAGCACUCUAAAUAGACUGCCUUCGUAAGGAGGAGGAAGGUGUGGACGACGUCAAGUCAUCAUGGCCCUUAUGCCCAGGGCGACACACGUGCUACAAUGGCAUAUACAAUGAGACGCAAUACCGCGAGGUGGAGCAAAUCUAUAAAAUAUGUCCCAGUUCGGAUUGUUCUCUGCAACUCGAGAGCAUGAAGCCGGAAUCGCUAGUAAUCGUAGAUCAGCCAUGCUACGGUGAAUACGUUCCCGGGUCUUG